UACGGGGGGGGGCAAGCGUUGUUCGGAAUUCUGGGCGUAAAGGGCGCGUAGGCGGCCUUCUAAGUCAGACGUGAAAUCCCUCGGCUCAACCGAGGAACUGCGUCUGAUACUGGAAGGCUUGAAUCCGGGAGAGGGAUGUGGAAUUCCAGGUGUAGCGGUGAAAUGCGUAGAUAUCUGGAGGAACACCGGUGGCGAAGGCGGCAUCCUGGACCAACACUGACGCUGAGUGAGCGAAAGCCAGGGGAGCAAACGGG
rnacentral:rRNA from 1 species